AGUGAACGCUGGCGGUAGGCCUAACACAUGCAAGUCGAACGGCAGCACAGUAAGAGCUUGCUCUUACGGGUGGCGAGUGGCGGACGGGUGAGGAAUACAUCGGAAUCUACUUUUUCGUGGGGGAUAACGUAGGGAAACUUACGCUAAUACCGCAUACGACCUACGGGUGAAAGCAGGGGAUCUUCGGACCUUGCGCGAUUGAAUGAGCCGAUGUCGGAUUAGCUAGUUGGCGGGGUAAAGGCCCACCAAGGCGACGAUCCGUAGCUGGUCUGAGAGGAUGAUCGGCAACACUGGAACUGAGACACGGUCCAGCCCCCUACGGGAGGCAGCAGUGGGGAAUAUUGGAAAAGGGGCGCAAGCCUGAACCAGCCAUACCGCGUGGGGAAAGUAGGCCUUCGGGUUGUAAAGCCCUUUUGUUGGGAAAAAAAAGCAGCAGGUUAAUACCCCGCUGUUCUGACGGUACCCAAAGAAUAAGCACCGGCUAACUUCGU
rnacentral:rRNA from 1 species